CAAAAGUUCAGAUAAGCAUAACAAGUACUGGAAAGAUGAGAUCCUCCAAGCAGAGUGCUCUAGAAAGCACUCCUGUUAAUCUGGGCAAGGCUCUCAUCAAUUGCUCUGUGCAGGAAGAGCUAUUAUUGGACUCAUAAGGAGAUAUGCACGAAAGAACAGCCAAUGGGAGGAAAAGACAGAACUGAAGGCAUAUGCUGAGAAUAGAAGCUGGAAGUGUUUGGCUCUUGCUGCCCUGACAAUGGAAACUCGACUAUGUCUGAAGCAAGUGUUCCUGAUGAACACAAUCGGCCCAUGUGAUCAUUCUUGGGAAUAUUUAUAAGUGGUAUGAAAAAUUUUCUUGCAUGAAUAGCCAGAACACACACUGAAUACUUUGAGGACUCCGCCAGGAGUUCCUCACAGCAUUUAAAAGUGGUUUUCUGACCUAGGAGGUCAUGGGUAGCAGUUGUCUGUAUUUGGAAAGUAAUAGAAAAUGUAGCAGUGCCUGCAUCAUUCAUUUAUUCCCAUCACCUGCACAUAAAUGUUUCCCUCACCUAAUACUUCACAGCUCUACAGGACACAUUUAUUGUCUCAAAUCUGUAGAGCUAUAGCAGAAUAAGGACUUAAAUAAACCACAGGUGUGAAAAAUUCCAACUGGCAACUUCAAACUAAACACCACGAAGCAUAAAAACGCACUUGUCAGAGGUGGAAGGAGCAGUUUGAUUAAAUCAUUGCUUCAGCCCAGACAUGUUUGGCCUAAUUCUCCCCUCCCACAGCUGACUCACAUGGAGCGUGGGCAGUGGCACUGCUGUAAGAGUGGAGUGGUGGCACUUGGACUCUGGAGCUCUCACUAUGCCUGUCUGACACCACGGAGCUGAAAUGUGCAGCUGAACAGAUUUAUGCUGCUGCGCUCAUCAGAGGUGAAGCACUGCUCCUACUCAUGGUCUGGGAUCACUAAACUGAGGUGGGGAGAAGUUUAGUAGCCAACUUUGCCCCAGUACUGAAAGCAACAAAACCUGGCUGAGCUUCUGGUGGGGCAGGCAAGAGAUGGAUCUUCCUUUUAUUGUGUUUUUCUUGCUGCCAAUUGCCAGGGAGGAGCCAGCGUGGCAUCAUUGUGAAGUACUGCAGCUGAAAGCUCCACUGCCAUCAAAUUUUAUGGUCCCAUCCUCUGCUCCCUGUCACUUUGAUGCGUGUCCUCACCUGGAAUCCCCUCCUGGCAAGAAUCUCUCAUCAUUUGCAGCAGGGCAGGACCAGGCAAUUGCAGAGCAAGCGCCUCCUGCCUGCAUCUGCCUCUCCUCAUUGGACUUUUAGGGAAGAGAAGGUGUGGCAGCCACAUUAGGCAUGCCAAGCACAGCGCCUCCAGUGAGUAGGCUGCAGAACUGAAUCCUCCUUAGAAAUGCAUUUAAAGAUCAUGGCAAACCAGAGCACCAGCCCUUCCCAGCCUCAGCACAGCAGUGGCCAGCUGGAGAAUACAGGUCUGCAUCGCUGCCUACAUGAGCAGGGAAUGUUGGAAAAGAGGGAUUUUUUUUUUCUUUUUUAAGUGUGAAAUGCACCAGUGCAUAAGUGUUAGCUUAUUUGAAAACCAUCAGCAUGAAUAGUUAGGAUUACAUAGCUUUGAGUACUAAUGAGGAAAGUGUUUGCCAUUUUUCUGUGUUAGUGAAAGCCACACGAUCCACUUUAUUCUUAUGUUCAUAUUAUUGCAGUUACAAGAGACAAUUUGCAAAUGCCUGGCUGCUUCAUAAAAGCUAAAGUACUUGGAUUCACAGCAGGUACUAAUUUUGUGUGCAUCUGCUGAGCUGUGCAUGGCAUCAACCUGUUUUUAAUUACACCUGCAUGUCAGGCUCAAAAUGCAUCUGUGAACAGGAAAGAUGAAAGGUAGACAGAACUGGAUGUCAUGUAUUUCCCAUCACCUUUCACUGGCUGGCUGCCCACAGAAGUAAGAGGAAAUUCCCUUCUUUCAUAGUGAAAAUGUAAAGAUUUACUAAGCUUUGCACUGCCAACAGCAAGGUGUAAUCACUCCUUUAAGGAAGCGUGCAUGUGUUAACAGGGGUGAGCAGGGGCAGCUCCAAAUAGCUUUCCACACCUUCCCUACCACUGAUCUGUAAAGGGCAGCAAGUAGCUCUUGCUUUGUUAUAUUUUAUUUGCAUUGAAAUGUGUAAGUUGUUUAACUUAAUAUCCCAACUUCAUUGUGAAAUAAAAUAUGUGAAAGCAGGAAUGACCAGGGCUUUUCAAUGGCUGGAGUAACAAAGACAAAAAUUAAACACUUCUCUCUUCUGUUAUUUCACCCAAGUAUAGGGAAAAAAAAAUGUUUAUACGCAUUUUUACAAAUAAAAUGAUUCAGACUACAGCUAGGGAUGGCCAUGACUCUUGAAACACUGGACAAGGUGAUUCAAAAACUGCUAGACAGUCAGAAGAAAUGUUUUUCAUGAAACAAUUCCCUCUGAAUAAAAAGUACUAAGCCAUUUGUGAUUGCACCUUCAAGCCAUUCCUUUAAUUUAUUCCUGUCAUUUGGAAUUGUUUCUUUUUCUAAUUGCAUUAAAAAUUGUGCACUUUAAAGGCUGCAUUGUGUGCCAAGAAUGUGUAUGUGUAGUCAGUGCAUAAAACAGGGGAACAGGGAAAGAACAAUUGCAUUUUUUAAUUCUGGAAUCCAGUCAGACUUUGAAAGCUACCGCAACUACUUUGCUUCAAAAAAUAGCAAUGAAAAUCAAAAAUGGUAACACAAGUUUAAAAGAUAAAGAAGUUAUUCACAGUUCCCUUCUAUUUUAACAUAAGUGCAAGUUGUUGAAACUUUUUGAUCCUAUUGCUUAUUCCUGCAGUAUUUCUUGGCAAUUUGGGGUGUCUCAGAAGAACCCACAGGAAUUAACCAGUGAUAAAAAGCACCCAUGGGAUCAGUCCAUCUGGCAGGCUGAGGCUUGAUUCUGUGUGGGCUCUGCGUAGUCCAGCUUGAUGCAGGAGGGCAUCCCUGCCUUGUGCAGGUGGUGACCCCUCUGGCAGCACCAGGGGCAGGGGCUGGGGAGAACUCCCUGGUAUCUGCCAUAGUUAGGAGAGGAAAAGGGAACAGGGCCAAUGUAUCCCACUGGUUAAUUUUUGUGUCCAAAUUUGAAUGAGUUUAGUCAGAGGCCUUGGAGACCAUAGACCUGAAUUCCUGCUUUCCUCAGCCAGGCACUGAUCCAGUAGAAGCUGUGGUUGUAACUGCCCUGGCACCAUCUUUUCUCUCCUGAAGUGUGAUAUGAAAAACAAAACAAAACUAAACAACUCUUUUUCAGUAGAGGGAAGGGCCUUUCAGUAUAUUUCAAACUUGAGGUGAGAGAAAGCAAAACAAACCAGAAAUGAGGUUGACAUCCAAAGACUCCGGAAGGUCUCUGCCCCCCAGGUUUCCUUCCUUUGUAGCCCCAUGAUCCAAAUAUUCCCUGGAUUUUUUUGUGUGCCUUUUCCAUUUAUGCCACCAGCUGUAAUUCCAGUUUCAUGGUAACCAGGAAAAAUCUCACCAUUUUCAACAGGGCUCUGCCAGGUUCUACUCUUUAUGAGCCCUAAAGUUCAUGGAGGUGGGACCUGUACCUCCUUCCAUUGCUGCUGAGCAGAUGCAUUUGUUUCUGAAGGGUAAAAGCUCAUUGCUGGUUUUAAAAUUGUAUCCUAUUAACUCACUUCAUCUGUCAGUGGCUGUAAGUCUUACAUAACACAACACCUUUUUUCUUCCUUUAGUGAAACCACAGUUUUAGUACAACACUUUCUUUGUUACCUGAAUACACUUUUCUUUUUGUGCACUUUUGUGCCGGCUGCAGGAAUCCAGACAAACAAGUGUUAAUUCCCCAUGAUGUUUUCCAGCUGACAGGCCUAAUUGAUUUGAUUUCCACUGUUUUCACAAGUGACCCCCCUCAACCCGUCAUCACCACUUCUUUUGAUACCUGAGCUUUACUUUCUACUCUCACAUUCCACUUCAACAACUAAUAAAGAGCUUAUUAGGAAGGAAGAAACUCAUUACUUGUUUUCCAAACUCUGCUCCAUGCACAGCACAUCCAGCGGGUUAUAGCCCUGUGUUAUUAAUCAAUACAGAACAUUUGCUUCCAUUAGGUUACCAGCAUCUUUUAUCAUCAGGCUGAGGGUAGGAACCUGUUUCUUUGUAUUCUGCUACCCACGCUCCAGCUAGACUAGACAGAGAUAAAAGACAGCUGAGUAAUAUUUUCCUGAGAUCCCUGAUGAUGCACACAGAUGGCCUGUAACAAAUGAAAUAUGCAAGGUGACGGCUGGAGUUCUCCUCACUCCAAGUUCAACUUUUACGGCUUAGAGAGUAUUUCAGUCCUUACACUACAGCUUCAUGGUAGAGAGAGAUUUAUUUUCUUAUCUGUAACAGGGUUUGUGAGUCUUUGCCUACCAUGGCCAUUAAUGGUUGCAGAAGGAAGUAGCCAA